rfam:Triticum aestivum genome assembly, contig: Triticum_aestivum_CS42_TGACv1_scaffold_474552_6AL
CUACUACUCCCUCCGUUCGGAAUUACUUGUCUUGGACAUGGAUGUAUCUAGAACUAAAAUACAUCUAGAUACAUCCAUUUCUGCGACAAGUAAUUCCGAACGGAGGGAGUACUAG